GUGAUCUAUCAAAAGCUGGUGCUGAAAAGGGCAGUUUGGAGGAAAGGCAGAGAGCGGAAAAAAGAGAACGAGAGGCUAAAGGCCAUAAAUUUUCACCAAGAUGGUUUGAUAUGACCGAUGAGGUUACACCUACACCAUGGGGUGACUUGGAAGUUUACCAGUACAAUGGUAAAUAUGGUGAACAUAGGGCUGUUGUGGACAACUCAGACAGCAUUGAGGAGGUUGAUGUCCAAUCAAUUGAAUUCAACCCUUGGCAAUAUAGUAACUUGUCUGCUGAAUGAGGUACUGAUGUAUUCAUGUUUGCUUGGGUUAUGCAGUCGGUUAGUUCCUUGGUAUGAUGUGGAAUCUAACUGCUGUUUGUUGGCAUAUGUACAUUGUAUCUCCAUUUCCACAACCACUUUGCAAUUGGGCUUGAGACUAUUUAUUUUUGUUAGUCUGUUAAACCAUUUUAGGGGGCUAUUUUGUUUUCUUAUAAAGAUUCUGGUAUUUUAGGGGUGACUGUGCAUUAAUGCAUGAUUUUUGAGCAGCUGGC
rnacentral:misc_RNA from 1 species